CUUUCAACAACGGAUCUCUUGGUUCUGGCAUCGAUGAAGAACGCAGCGAAAUGCGAUAAGUAAUGUGAAUUGCAGAAUUCAGUGAAUCAUCGAAUCUUUGAACGCACAUUGCGCCCUCUGGUAUUCCGGAGGGCAUGCCUGUUCGAGCGUCAU
rnacentral:rRNA from 6 species